GAAGGUUCGGCAUGUCCAUCGCGACAUGUUGAAGGCACAGGUCAGCCCGGGACCUCCUGCACCUGGUCCACAGGCUCCACCCCCGCCUGUGCCUGCUGACUCGGAGCGGACCUCUCUGAGUGAUGAUGAGUUGUGGCUCCUUGUCCCUGAGGUACCUUCACAACCUGUGGCACCUGUGGCGUCAUCUUCUGAUGCCUCUAGAGUUCCAUCGGUGGAGCUCAGGUCUACUCCCAGUGUGAUUGUAGCACCCUCGACCUCUGCUCCCCCAGGUUCUUCCUCAGGCUCUGUUGAACAGUCUGAGGUGAGUGGGUCACACUUGCGGAGAACAGCACGUUCAACAGCUGGUCAGCACUCGAAUGUACAUCACUUGCCACGUCCUGUUGAAUCUGCACCAGUCGCUAAUGCGCAGCUCGCCGUAUUCAGGCCAUGGUGUUAGGUUUCUUGAGUUAUUGUCGGGGCGCCAAUACAAAAAGGGGGGGUAGAUGUAGCCGGAUGGGCUACUCGCCUUUCUUUUCUCUCUCUCUCGCUCGCUCGCUCUACUGCUCUCGCUCUCUCCUGCGCUCGCUCUUACUGCAAAACUAGGUCAAUUGGGAACCCACCUGCAUAUUGAUUGCAGGCUGGCACCAGGUAUAAAGCUAAGCCGGUGCUUCUUUGGAUUAUUCCUCCCAUGCAUUCAGCGCAAAGCAGCAGUAAAUGCUGACACUCUGCGACGGACUGAUCGGCAAGAGUAGAUCAUAUGACAGCCACAGCGCGGCAGGUUGUUUUAUUCCGGCGUUGCGGAGAGAGGUGCUUGUGUGAUUUCCCCCACCAGUGAGAGUAUAGCGCCUCCGGUCCUGGGGGUUUGAGCGCUGCCUUCACCUCCGUGGCAACUCACACAGCCUUAAGUGAAGAAUCAAGACACCUGCCUAGCCGUUGUUGUGAGGGCUCCUCCUCAGUGGAGCCUGCUGUCUUGUCUUGUCUUGUUUGGUUUUGAAUUGUUUUACCUUGUCUUAUUUGGUUUUAUUAAGUAGGCCUACCAUUUCCUGGUUCGCCUGGUUUUAUUUUAUCUCUGGAUUGUUGCGUGUGCCCAUGCUUCUGUGAUCGGGCUGAAGCAAUUCUUUGCCCGAGUGUCGUGCCGGGGAUUUUAAAUUGCCCCCGUUGCUGGUCUUAGCCUGUGGGGAGCCAGACCAGCUCGCGAUUGAGGCUGGGACCAUUACUACCAUGAACGGAGGACGUACCAGUGGCCCUGGGACCUUAGGUGGUGGGUCGUUUUCACACUUUCUUUUGUACAGCACCGGGUGGGCUGCAGUGAUUUUCGUUUUGUGUGAUUU